rnacentral:tRNA from 1 species
GGGCUUAUAGCUCAGUUGGUAGAGCAGUUGACUCUUAAUCAAUUGGUCCUGGGUUCGAGUCCCAGUGGGCCCA